rnacentral:rRNA from 1 species
UACGUAGGGAGCAAGCGUUGUCCGGAAUUAUUGGGCGUAACGAGCGUGUAGGCGGCCCGAUUAGUCCGCUGUGAAAGUCCAGGGCUCAACCCUGGAAUGCCGGUGGAUACUGUCGGGCUAGAGUCCGGAAGGGGCGAGUGGAAUUCCUGGUGUAGCGGUGAAAUGCGCAGAUAUCAGGAGGAACACCAAUGGCGAAGGCAGCUCGCUGGGACGUGACUGACGCUGAGACGCGAAAGCGUGGGGAGCAAACAGG